GAUGAAGAACGUAGCGAAAUGCGAUAAGUAAUGCGAAUUGCAGAAUUCCAGUGAGUCAUCGAAUCUUUGAACGCACAUUGCGCCCUUUGGUAUUCCGAAGGGCAUGCCUGUUCGAGCGUCAUUAUCACCCCUCAAGCCCUCGGCUUGGUGUUGGACGGUUUGGUGGAGGCCCCCUCGGGGGCUCCUGCCCCUCCCAAAGACAAUGACGGCGGCCUCGUUGGACCCCCGGUACACUGAGUUCUUCACGGGACACGUAUCGGACACAUGGGUUUACGGGACACGGUCUGCCUCCCCUCAGGGAGAAUCCUUCUAAGGUUGACCUCGGAUCAGGUAGGGAUACCCGCUGAACUUAAGCAUAUCAAUAAGCGGAGGA
rnacentral:misc_RNA from 1 species